AGCGGCGGAUGGGUGAGUAACACGUGGGGAACCUGCCCCUAAGUCUGGGAUACCAUUUGGAAACAGGUGCUAAUACCGGAUAAUAAGGCAGAUCGCAUGAUCAGCUUUUGAAAGGCGGCGUAAGCUGUCGCUAAGGGAUGGCCCCGCGGUGCAUUAGCUAGUUGGUAAGGUAACGGCUUACCAAGGCGACGAUGCGUAGCCGAGUUGAGAGACUGAUCGGCCACAUUGGGACUGAGGCACGGCCCAAACUCCUACGGGAGGCAGCAGUAGGGAAUCUUCCACAAUGGACGCAAGUCUGAUGGAGCAACGCCGCGUGAGUGAAGAAGGUUUUCGGAUCGUAAAGCUCUGUUGUUGGUGAAGAAGGAUAGAGGUAGUAACUGGCCUUUAUUUGACGGUAAUCAACCAGAAAGUCACGGCUAACUACGUGCCAGCAGCCGCGGUAAUACGUAGGUGGCAAGCGUUGUCCGGAUUUAUUGGGCGUAAAGCGAGCGCAGGCGGAAAAAUAAGUCUAAUGUGAAAGCCCUCGGCUUAACCGAGGAACUGCACCGGAAACUGUUUUUCUUGAGUGCAGAAGAGGAGAGUGGAACUCCAUGUGUAGCGGUGGAAUGCGUAGAUAUAUGGAAGAACACCAGUGGCGAAGGCGGCUCUCUGGUCUGCAACUGACGCUGAGGCUCGAAAGCAUGGGUAGCGAACAGGAUUAGAUACCCUGGUAGUCCAUGCCGUAAACGAUGAGUGCUAAGUGU
rnacentral:rRNA from 1 species